rnacentral:rRNA from 1 species
GAUGAACGCUGGCGGCGUGCCUAAUACAUGCAAGUCGAGCGAAUGGAUUAAGAGCUUGCUCUUAAGAAGUUAGCGGCGGACGGGUGAGUAACACGUGGGUAACCUGCCCAUAAGACUGGGAUAACUCCGGGAAACCGGGGCUAAUACCGGAUAACAUUUUGAACCGCAUGGUUCGAAAUUGAAAGGCGGCUUCGGCUGUCACUUAUGGAUGGACCCGCGUCGCAUUAGCUAGUUGGUGAGGUAACGGCUCACCAAGGCAACGAUGCGUAGCCGACAUGGGAGGGUGAUCGGCCACGCUGGGACUGAGACACGGCCCAGAAUCCUACGGGAGGGAGCAGUAGGGAAUCUUCCGCAAUGGACGAAAGUCUGACGGAGCAACGCCGCGUGAGUGAUGAAGGCUUUCGGGUCGUAAAACUCUGUUGUUAGGGAAGAACAAGUGCUAGUUGAAUAAGCUGGCACCUUGACGGUACCUAACCAGAAAGCCACGGCUAACUACGUGCCAGCCGCCGCAGUAA